UUUACUCGUGUAGUCUGGGCCAUAGUUCAAGUAGUUUCAAAUCUAUAUCCCCCACGUAGUGCGCGUAACAUGUUCGGCAAUUGGUUGGCGGGUAUGGAUAAACAAUUUUCUGCACAUCUACUCGUGGGAGCGGCUGCCUUAUGUUGGGCACUGUGGCUCACCAGAAAUGAUGUGAUUUUUAACAAUAAAUGUGUUUCAUCUCCUGUGCAGGUUAUCCAUGCGUGUACGCGAUGGCUCCGUACGUGGUCUAUCCUGCAGAGGCCGGAGGACAGAGACCUUUUUAUGAUGGCGUCUACACGGCUGGAGCAUACAGCCAGGAAGGUUUUCUCCCAACAUAGAUGGCGGUGUAAUCUCCGGAUAGGCGUUGCCCCAUCCUAG
rnacentral:rRNA from 1 species